rnacentral:lncRNA from 1 species
AUAGAACUUGUGGCCGUAAGAUUUUGUAAACAAGUGUUGAAAUUGAAAGAGACAAACCUGGCAAUUGAAAAUCCAAAAAGAGUGACUAAUGAGAAUGUGUCAAUGCACUGGGUUCACGUGGGGGUUUUCUGUAGGGUACACUAUCAAGUUUCCAAUCUUUUCUGUAUCAAAUGGGCCUGGUUAGUGGAUAAAGGCAAAUAGAAUAUUGU